rnacentral:rRNA from 1 species
CAUUAUUGAAUAAACCUGAUGGGUUGUUGCUGGCUUCUCCGGAAGUAUGUGCACACCUGUCAUCUUUAUCCAUCCACCUGUGCACCCUUUGUAGUCUUGGAGAUAAUGAGCGCAAAGCGUCUUGGGGAUCACACUCCUUGAUGUUAGUGCAAGUUUCUCUUGGUCUAUGUCUUUCAUAUACCACGUCGAAUGUAAUAGAAAGUUUUUAUUGGGCCUCAGUGCCUAUAAAACACAAUACAACUUUCAGCAACGGAUCUCUUGGCUCUCGCAUCGAUGAAGAACGCAGCGAAAUGCGAUAAGUAAUGUGAAUUGCAGAAUUCAGUGAAUCAUCGAAUCUUUGAACGCACCUUGCGCUCCUUGGUAUUCCGAGGAGCAUGCCUGUUUGAGUGUCAUUUAAUUCUCAAUCCCCACUAGUUUUUUGUGACUGGCUUGGUGGAUUGGAUGUGGGGGUAUUGUUUGCGGGCCUCUUCAGAGGUCGGCUCCCCUAAAAAGCAUUAGCGGAACUGUUUGCGGACCCGUCACUGGUGUGAUAAUUAUCUACGCCAACGACAACUGCUCUCUGGUAGUUCUGCUUCUAACCGUCCUUUUACUUGGACAAUCAUAUAUUUGAAUGCUUGACCUCAAAUCAGGUAGGACUACCCGCUGAACUUAAGCAUAUCAAUAAGCGGAGGAAAAGAAACUAACAAGGAUUCCCCUAGUAACUGCGAGUGAAGCGGGAAAAGCUCAAAUUUAAAAUCUGGCGGUCUUUGGCCGUCCGAGUUGUAAUCUAGAGAAGCGUUACCCGCGUUGGACCGUGUACAAGUCUCCUGGGAUGGAGCAUCAUAGAGGGUGAGAAUCCCGUCUCUGACACGGACUACCAGGGCUUUGUGGUGCACUCUCAAAGAGUCGAGUGGUUUGGGAAUGCAGCUCUAAACGGGUGGUAAAUUCCAUCUAAAGCUAAAUAUUGGCGAGAGACCGAUAGCGAACAAGUACCGUGAGGGAAAGAUGAAAAGAACUUUGGAAAGAGAGUUAAACAGUACGUGAAAUUGCUGAAAGGGAAACGCUUGAAGUCAGUCGCGUUGUCCGGGGAUCAGCCUCGCUCCUGCGUGGUGUACUUCCUGGUUGACGGGUCAGCAUCAAUUUUGACCGCUGGAAAAGGACUUGGGGAAUGUGGCAUCUUCGGAUGUGUUAUAGCCCCUUGUCGCAUACGGCGGUUGGGAUUGAGGAACUCAGCACGCCGCAAGGCCGGGUUUCGACCACGUUCGUGCUUAGGAUGCUGGCAUAAUGGCUUUAAUCGACCCGUCUUGAAACACGGACCAAGGAGUCUAACAUACCUGCGAGUGUUUGGGUGGAAAACCCGAGCGCGCAAUGAAAGUGAAAGUUGAGAUCCCUGUCGUGGGGAGCAUCGACGCCCGGACCAGAACUUUUGGGACGGAUCUGCGGUAGAGCAUGUAUGUUGGGACCCGAAAGAUGGUGAACUAUGCCUGAAUAGGGUGAAGCCAGAGGAAACUCUGGUGGAGGCUCGUAGCGAUUCUGACGUGCAAAUCGAUCGUCAAAUUUGGGUAUAGGGGCGAAAGACUAAUCGAACCAUCUAGU